UUUUAGGGGUUUAUAAGUGUUUUGAGGGUUUUUAGUGAUUUUUAGUGGUAUUUUUGGGUUUUUAAGGACUAUUUUUGGGUUUUUAGAGUAUUUAAGGGGUAUUUUCGGGUUUUUAUGGUUUUUAAGGUGUAUUUUAGGUUUUUUAGGAUUGUUAAAGGGAAUUUUAUGCUUUAUUGGGGUAUUUUUGAUUUUUCAAGGUUUUUAAGGGAUAAUUUUGGGUUUUUAGGGGUUUUAAGGGACUUUCGAGUUUUUAGGAUUUGUAGGGAUAUUUUCGGGUUCUUCGGGUUUUUAAGGGGUAUUUUCGGAUUUUUAGGAUUUUUAAGGGAUAUUUUUUUGUUAAAAGAACCAAAAAUACCCAAAAAUAUCCCUUAAAACCCUAAAAAUAGAAAAAUAUCCUUUAAAUACCCAAAAAUCCCCUAAAAAUCCGAAAAUACCCUUAACAAACCCUAAAAACCCAAAGUUAAAAAAACACCCUAAAACUCAAAAAAUUGACCUUCAAAAUCCUAAAACUCCAAAAAUACCCCUUAAAAAUCAUAAAAACCCAAAAAUACCCCUUAAAAACCAUAAAAACCCGAAAAUACCACUUAAAUACUCUAAAAACUCAAAAAAACCACUUAAAAACCCUAAAAACCCAAAAAUACCACUAAGAAACCAUAAAAACCUAAAAAUGCCCCUUAAAAACCCAAAAACAGAAAAAUAUCCCUUAAAAACCCUAAAGCCCCAAAACUACCCCUAAAAUAUCCUAAAAACCCAAAUAUACCUCUUAAAACCCUAAAAACCCAAGAAUACCCCUCAAAAACCAUAAAAACCCCAAAAUACCCCUUAAAAACCCUAAAAAUCUGAAAAUACCCCUAAAAAAGGCUAAAAACCCAAAAAUACCAAAAAAAACCUAAAAAUCCAAAAUGUCCCCUUAAAAAUCCCAAAAACCCAAAAAUAUCCCUUAAAAACCAUAAAAACCCAAAAAUGCCCUUAAAAACCCUAAAAACAAAAAAAAUAUCCAUUAAAUAUGGAACAACAACUUCGGGUUCUGGUUUUAGGGACUUGAAUGGGGUCCAAUGUCUCAUGAUUUUGAGUUUGGUCAUGGAGAAGAAGAAAUUCCAGGUAUGGGAAGUUAUUUUAGUGUGAUUGAUUGCUUGUAUGUCGUAUGCUUUGGGAUUUAGAUGUCACUUAUUGAUGAAACCAGCGAUGCAGAAAAUAAUGUGCUCAACUAAUUUCUUUNACUUAAAUACUCUAAAAACUCAAAAAAACCACUUAAAAACCCUAAAAACCCAAAAAUACCACUAAGAAACCAUAAAAACCUAAAAAUGCCCCUUAAAAACCCACAAGUAGAAAAAUAUCCCUUAAAAACCCUAAA
rnacentral:lncRNA from 1 species